CGAAAAUGAUUGGCGAUAAGCACUAUACCGAAGCUCUGGAUGCACAGUUUACUGUGCGUGGUAGAGGAGCGUUCUCAACACAUUGAAGCCUUAAGGCGACUGAUGGUGGAGCGUUGAGAAGUGAGCAUGUAGACAUGAGUAACGAUAAGCCGGGUGAGAUCCCCGGCCGCCGUAAACCCAAGGUUUCCUGGGCCAUGCUGGUCAUCCCAGGGUUAGUCGGGACCUAAGCCGAGGCCGAUGGGCGUAGGCGAUGGAAACACGGUUAAUAUUCCGUUGACGGCCUACAAUUUAAACUAGAAGGACGCAUGAGUGGAGAAAAGACAACGAUUGAAAAUGUUGCUUGGAGUCUUCGGACAAAUUGGUUUUUUGAAACGAGUGCCAAGAAAAGUUCUGGUGAAUAGAAGUAGUGCCCCCGUACCGUAAACCGACACAGGUGGGUGGGUAGAAUAUACUAAGGCGCAAGAGUGAAACCCUGUUAAGGAACUCGGCAAUCUAGCCCCGUAACUUCGGGAGAAGGGGUCCCGGGACUUGUCCCGGGCGCAGUGAAAGGGCCCAUCCGACUGUUUAGCAAAAACACAGCAUUCUGCGAACACGUAAGUGGAAGUAUAGGAUGUGACACGUGACCAAUGCCAAAAGAUUAAGGGGAGGUGUUAGCUUCGGCGAAGCUCUGAUCCUAAGUCCUGGUGAAUGUCGGCCGUAACUAUAACGGUCCUAAGGUAGCGAAAUUCCUUGUCGGGUAAGUUCCGACCUGCACGAAUCGUGCAACGAGAUGGGCGCUGUCUCAACAGGGAGCUCAGUGAAAUUGUAUCCGCGGUGAAGAUGCCGCGUACCCGCAGAAGGACGGAAAGACCCUAUAGACCUUAACUGUACGCUGUCACUGUUUUCUCGAUUUUAAUGCUCAGCAUAAGUGGGAGGCUUUGAACUGGCCCUUUAGGGGGUCAGGGAGCCAACAGUGAGAUACCACCCUUUAAUGUUGGGGAAUCUAACCUCUUGCCUUUAUCAGGCAGAGGAACAAUGGCAGCCGGUCAGUUUGACUGGGGCGGUCUCCUCCUAAAGAGUAACGGAGGAGCGCGAAGGUAGGCUCAGCGCGGUUGGCAAUCGCGUUUCGAGUGCAUUGGCAUAAGCCUGCCUAACUGCGAGACCUACAAGUCGAGCAGAGACGAAAGUCGGCCAAAGUGAUCCGGCGGUGGAAUAUGGAAUCGCCGUCGCUCAUCGGAUAAAAGGUACCUUAGGGAUAACAGGCUGAUCGCGCCCAAGAGUUCAUAUCGACGGCGCGG
rnacentral:rRNA from 1 species